GUUCAGUUGACAUUUAAGCAAAUAGGUGAAAAUAAUAGUAGUACCCUCUCCCCAUGAUCCUCCCUUACUAAAGAUCAAUAGAUUCACUGUAGCCUACAUUAAACAAGGGUUAUGUAACUUGAAUUAGGAAAUAUGCAGCUGGCACUUUGCCUGGUACAGAGUCUCAUCACUGGUUGUCGGUCAUCCAACACCAUGUAGUGGCUGAGUGCGCUCCCAUGCAGAUUGUUGCGUUCUGCUCGGUGCCUUGUAGGUGAGGUGGGGCAGAGUCCCAAGAUUGUGAGGUUGUGAGCUUGAUG